rnacentral:lncRNA from 1 species
AUUUUAGACUUGGAGCAAUGGAUUACCACCCUACAGUCCACACUGCCAGAAAAGGGACAGUGAGGCCUUCCAUGUGGCAUCUCCAAAGUCUGUCAUAUCAUUUGGAGCAGAGCCUAGAUCCUCCCCUGUGUGUCUAGUCUGGGAGAAUAUCCCUCCAUGUUGAGAGGACUCCAAAAGUCCAUUUGUGUACUAGGGGUGGAGGUGAGACUGGCAUUGUGAUGUUGGCAGACUCUGGAUGGCUUGGUCUGCUGGGACGGGUUCCCCUGUUCACAGUCCCCAGCCCUCAAGAAGUUCUGUGCAGGGCCAGAAGCAGGCCAAUGCUUGUCUCCUCCCAUGCAGGGAGGAGGGACUAUCGCCACAAUACUGGCCAACUCUGGAUGGCCUGGUCCGCCAGAACAUGUUCCACCUGUGGUGAGUCCCCAGGCUUCAGCAGGCUCUGAGCAGGACACCGGGCUGAAAUAGCUUCUUUAUGUUUAUAAUGCUAUAUUUCCCUUGUAAUGUGCUGCCUGAAUCUUUCUUCUUAAGGCUAGCAAUCAGAUUGAAAGGAAGCUCUGAGGAUGCAAUGCAUCCUUAGAAAAGAAUAUCAGGAGCUACACUAAUCCAGAUCGCCCCUAGUCUACAUGCUGUUAUCUUGUCUCAACCCCAGUGGACCUCUGCCACUCAAGAGCAGGCCACACCAACCAUGAGUGACUUUCUUGCCACAGAACU